GAGCUGGGGAAAUAAAAAUGAAAGAUCAAUGUUACAGCUUCUUCCAUUCGUUGUAUGUAGAUCACCAAAGGAGUGUUUAGAUAUAUACAAAGGAAAUUACCCGGACGAUUACAUUGAAUACGACCAAUUGUUUGACUCAAAACUGUACGAAAUGGAAUUGUACCAACAACCAUACGAGUGUCUUAAAAGCAUUGAUUUUGCUUACAAUGAAAGUUCAGAAUUGCAUUGCAUUGAAACAAUGUUAAGACACUGUGGUGUUUCAAACCCGUCAUGGUCAGAAAUCCAUCACUUUGUUACUUUUUUAAACACCCAGUUACUGGAUUUUUGCAAAACAAAAUUAGUCAGUGAAGAUUUCAAAGAUGUACU